AUCCAGUUGAUGAGUCCCAAAUAGGACGAAACGUGCAUUCUAGAU
rnacentral:hammerhead_ribozyme from 1 species